rnacentral:rRNA from 1 species
AGAGUUUGAUCAUGGCUCAGGAUGAACGCUGGCGGCGUGCCUAACACAUGCAAGUCGAGCGAGACGGUUAUGAUUGAUCCUUCGGGUGAUUGAGUAACUAGAAAGCGGCGGACGGGUGAGUAACGCGUGAGUAACCUGCCCUACACACAAGGAUAGCCAUUGGAAACGAUGAUUAAUACUUGAUAACACAUUUUAAACACAUGUUUUUAAUGUCAAAGAUUUAUCGGUGUAGGAUGGACUCGCGUCUGAUUAGCUAGUUGGUAAGGUAACGGCUUACCAAGGCGACGAUCAGUAGCCGACCUGAGAGGGUGAUCGGCCACACUGGAACCGAGACACGGUCCAGACUCCUACGGGAGGCAGCAGUGGGGAAUAUUGCACAAUGGGCGCAAGCCUGAUGCAGCAACGCCGCGUGAACGAAGAAGGCCUUCGGGUCGUAAAGUUCUUUUCUUAGGGAAGAAAAAAAUGACGGUACCUAAGGAAUAAGCACCGGCUAAAUACGUGCCAGCAGCCGCGGUAAUACGUAUGGUGCAAGCGUUAUCCGGAAUCACUGGGCGUAAAGGGUGCGUAGGUGGUUUUGCAAGUCAGAAGUGAAAGGCUACGGCUCAACCGUAGUAAGCUUUUGAAACUGCAAGACUAGAGUGCAGGAGAGGUAAGUGGAAUUCCUAGUGUAGAGGUGAAAUUCGUAGAUAUUAGGAGGAACACCAGUGGCGAAGGCGACUUACUGGACUGUAACUGACACUGAGGCACGAAAGCGUGGGGAGCAAACAGGAUUAGAUACCCUGGUAGUCCACGCCGUAAACGAUGAA